AAUAAAUUUCUGUUGUUUCAGGCACCCAGUCAAUGGUAUUUCACUAUGGCAGCCUGAGCUCAAUGGCAUACCAGUUGCUCAGGGGGAUAGUGAGAAUAGUUAGCCUUAGAUGCAGACAAUAAGGGGGUAAUCACUUGUAGAGAAUUCUAAAAAAUAGUGAAACCUACUACAAAUUGAUGUGCUUUUUAUUAUUCUUAUGAGCCAGCAAUUCUAAACUGUGUCAGUGACAAAAUACUCCUCUCCACUAAGGUGGACUGCUCUCAUUCUCCUGCGUAUGGCCACCACUGGAACCAUUGUAUGUGGAGUAUUUAAGGAAACAAAAGAUAAAGUUAUUAUACAAAGAUAAACAUGUAACAAGAUACUGGGAUGGACAAGUAAAUUUGAAAAAACAUAGUGUCUAAAAAUAAAAAAUAUAGUUAUUGAAUUAAAAGGCUCAGCUGACAGUUAAAUACCAGAUUAGAUGCAGUUGAAAAGAGAACUACAGUCCUGAAAGAUAAUCCAGGAAUGAAUAAAAAAAUGAAACAACAAAAAAAGGAUAAGAUGUGAAAAAUAAAAGAGAGAUUAGAGAACUGUAGGAUAGGAUGAAAAGGUCUAACGUAGGUCUAAAUGAAGUUCUAAAAGGAGAAUAACGAGAGAAGCAGGGGCAAUGAUUAAAAGAUAAUAGGUAUAAAUUUUCCAAAACUGAUAAGAAAUAUAGACCCAUAGAUCGAGGAAGCUCAACCUCACCCAAGCCUAGACUGGAUAAAUAAAAAUACAUUCACACCUAGAUUGCAGAGGCCAAAGACAAAGGGCCAAAGACAGAGAUUGUGAGAGAAAUUAGAGAGAAAGAACCGCUUACUUAUAAAGAAUGAAAGAAAAGUUCAGCAACAACAAUGGGAGCCAGAAUCACAAGGCAAAUAUCUUCAAAGUGUUGAGAGAAAAUAACUGUUAACCUGGAAUUUUCUACUUAGAGAAAGAAAUAUCUUUUAAAAAUGGGGCCAAAUACGGACAUUUACAUAUAAACAAAAUCCGAGAAACCUACUCUAAAAGAAGAUAUUUUAGGGGGAAAAACCCUUGAAGAUAGCUGGGAUGCAAGAAGGAAUGGUGAUCAAAUAAAAUGGCAAACAGCUUCAAAAGAGAAAAGGGAAAGCAAGAAAGGACACAGAGAACCUAAAGGAACUUUAUAAUAACUAGGACUCCCAAGCAGCACCUGGGGAGAGUGGUGGUGAAGUCGCUCUUCUCAGAGGCACAGGGAGAAUACGUCUUCCUGGAUGUUUCCGGGCCGUGCAUAUCGCCCAAGUGGGCAGCUCUCCAAGGUCCCUACGCGUGUGUGGAGACAAGCAAGCCCGAGACCUUGCCAGGGCGCCUUACCGUGUCUAGCUCCGAUUCCAAGCUGCAGUUUUCAAUGGAAGGGAACACCUCACUGUAUUUGCUUGGGUAGGUAGACGCUAGGUGGUCCUUCACCUCCUCCAGGUUGCUGGCUGUCAAAAAGCCAUCUUCAAGGUCAAAAGAAUUGGUCAGCAGCAGAAUCACCCUGCAGAGCAGACCAUCAGAUCAACCCUCACUGAUCAGAAAGCCUCCCGUCACCAAAGCCUCCCGCCAGCCUCUCCUUUCCUGAUUGCAUCUGGAAAGGGAAUCUGUUGCUUGGUGACCUUUUUAAAGGACAGGGUCAUUUUGAAUGGUUUUGAAGAUGUCUGAGAUACGAACAGUGACGACAACAAGAACCAAAUGCAGCUGGGCUGUUUUAACCUCUGCACCGGCAUAGUCCAACAGAACUUUCUGUGAUGAUGGAAAUGUUCAAUAUCUGGGCGGUCCCGUUUGGUACCCACUGGCCACAUGUGGCGACUAAGCUCUUGAAUGUGGCUAGUGUAACUGAAGAAAUGACUUGAAGUAAAAUGUAUAUUUAUUUAAAGAUAAA